AGCAGCGUGGCUUAGUGGAAAGAGCACGGAUUUGGGAGUCAGUGGUCGUGGGUUCUAAUCCCAGCUCUGCCA
rnacentral:tRNA from 1 species